UACAGGGGGUGCAAACGUUGCUCGGAAUCAUUGGGCGUAAAGCGCGCGUAGGCGGUUCGUUAUGUCGGAUGUGAAAGCCCUUGGCUUAACCGAGGGAGUGCAUCCGAAACUGGCGAGCUAGAGUACUGAAGAGGAUCGCGGAAUUCCCGGUGUAGAGGUGAAAUUCGUAGAUAUCGGGAGGAACACCGGUGGCGAAGGCGGCGAUCUGGGUAGAUACUGACGCUGAGGUGCGAAAGCGUGGGGAGCAAACAGG
rnacentral:rRNA from 1 species